UAAGCGGAGGAAAAGAAACUAACAAGGAUUCCCCCAGUAACGGCGAGUGAAGCGGGAAGAGCUCAAGCUUAAAAUCUCCAUACUUGUAUGGCGAAUUGUAGUCUAUUGAGGCUGUUGUCAGCAUCGCGAUUGGGGACAAGUCCCUUGGAAAAGGGCAGCAUAGAGGGUGAUACUCCCGUCUCUGCUCCAAUCUGCGGUGUGUACGAUACGCUUUCUUUGAGUCGAGUUGUUUGGGAAUACAGCUCAAAGUAGGUGGUAAAUUCCAUCUAAAGCUAAAUAUUGGUGCGAGACCGAUAGCGAACAAGUACCGUGAGGGAAAGAUGAAAAGAACUUUGAAAAGAGAGUUAAAGAGUACCUGAAACUGUUGAAAGGGAACCGUAUCGUUUCCAGUGUUGUAUCCUAUGCAUAUUUCAUUCGCGGAGUAAUUUGCGGGUGCCCUGUGCAUGGGUGUGACGUCAGGGUCAGUUUGUAUGCUGCGGGAGAUGGUCAGUGAGGAGGUGCGUCACUUCGGUGAAAGUUAUAUCUCGCUGUCUAGUAGCCGUGGUUGAGACUGAGGUGCCUACAACAUGCCUUAAGGUUCCGUGUUGUCUCGUGUUGGUGACUGCUUUGAUAGCUUGCUAUGUCUGUGGUUUAUCAGUGCGAUUGAUGAUGCGGAUAACUUUUGCUGUUCGGGACUCUGGCGAAAUGGAGCGAU
rnacentral:rRNA from 1 species